rnacentral:rRNA from 1 species
CGAACGCUGGCGGCGUGCCUAAUACAUGCAAGUUGAACGCUUGAUUUUCACCGAAGCUUGCUUCACCGAAAAUCAAGAGUAGCGAACGGGUGAGUAACGCUGGGUAACCUACCUAUCAGCGGGGGAUAACUAAUUGGAAACGAUAGCUAAUACCGCAUAACAAUUGAGAUUGCAUAAUCUUAAUUUGAAAGUACCAAUUGGUACACUGAGAGAUGGACCCGCGUUGUAUUAGCUAGUUGGUAGUGUAAUGGACUACCAAGGCGAUGAUACAUAGCCGACCUGAGAGGGUGAUCGGCCACAUUGGGACUGAGACACGGCCCAAACUCCUACGGGAGGCAGCAGUAGGGAAUCUUCGGCAAUGGACGAAAGUCUGACCGAGCAACGCCGCGUGAGUGAAGAAGGUUUUCGGAUCGUAAAACUCUGUUGUUAGAGAAGAACGUUGCAUAGAGUGGAAAGUUAUGCAAGUGACGGUAUCUAACCAGAAAGGGACGGCUAACUACGUG